rnacentral:ncRNA from 2 species
UCCAUAUUGAACAUAUGAAGUGCUGGCUGUGUCCGCGUAGCAGUCAGAAGAGGGAAUCAGGUGAGAGUCCUGAGCGAUCCGGUCACUGUAACAGAGGAGCGAACCUUCAUUAUCCCAUUGUACAUAGUAUGAGAAGGGGAAGGCAAGCGAUGAUCCUGAAGUCAGGAAACCUGCUUUGUAUGGCGAGGUUAA